UACGUAGGGACCAAGCGUUGUUCGGAUUUACUGGGCGUAAAGGGCGCGUAGGCGGCGUGGUAAGUCAGCUGUGAAAUCUCCGAGCUUAACUCGGAACGGUCAGCUGAUACUGCUGUGCUAGAGUACAGAAAGGGCAAUCGGAAUUCUUGGUGUAGCGGUGAAAUGCGUAGAUAUCAAGAGGAACACCUGAGGCGAAGGCGGGUUGCUAGGCUGAUACUGACGCUGAGGCGCGAAAGCGUGGGGAGCAAACAGG
rnacentral:rRNA from 1 species